rnacentral:lncRNA from 1 species
GUGUGGUUGGCAUGUACCAGGUGUGUCCAGCAAACAUACCUGCCUUAGAGGCCUGUGCUCUCUGAAGUGCCGCCCCAGAAUGCCACACUUCAAAGAAACCACACUGCAGCUGUCACCUGGCUAUCGUGAGGAGGUCAGGGAGUUAAUAUGCAACCAUGAAACUGUGCACUCCCACCUCCAACUGACACCUGGGACUUGGGGGACAUUUUUUUUUUUUUUUCUGGUACAGAGAAUUUGAAUGUUCCAUUCAAUUCUGUUCAGUAUUGUUCCUAAUUUGCCCCAGCAGGAGUUCAGGGCCUCCUGCCUUUAGAUAAAGAGCAGUGUACAUAUCUCUCCCAAAACAAAAGAAGAGGAGACACCGAGGUUUUCUUCUUCAAAUAAGAAUUAUUGAGUAUUUGCAGCUGCUGUUAGCAGGAGUUUAAUAAUGGGACUAAUUUGUUUAAAAAAAAAAGUAGAGAAGCUUUCUAACAUGAGACACCUUUUAUCUGAGGAUUACAUGUUUCACAUGCAAAUUAGCCAAUUCUCCUCUUGGCUGUGUUUGGUAUGCUCUCAAUUACUGUUUGACACUGUCCUUGGGCAUCCAGCACUCUGGUUAUGGGGUGGGAAGUCGAAGUUUAUUUAUAAGUUGUUGCAGUAUGGAUGUAGAUUAGAUCUCAGAGAGGACUUCCUGGUUAUGAUGCUAUUAAGUGAGUUGCUGGGGGAGUUCUUUUUAAAGAGUUGCACGAGAGGACUUCCUGCCUCUUUGAUGGUGCUCUUUUCAGGAAUGAAAACCAAGCCACCAUCCACUUCUCAUAGAGCAAACUGAGUGUCUGACUUCACCAGAGAUAAUAGAGCAUCAAAGAAAAGAAAGAGGUUUGAAGUGAGUGACUAGGGAGACCCAAGUUCUGUGAGAUGCUGCUUGAAGGGCCAGGACUCUUUGAAGCCCAGGGUUGCAGGCCAGUGGGCCUCAGUUCAAAGAUAGGACAUGAGCUCGUCUAGAGUAACAUUUGCUGCUGUUCUAUUCUUUUCAAUUUUAUUUUACUUAGUGCGCACGAGUGUGUGUUUGUGUGUGUGUGUGUGCUGGUGUGUGCAUGCAUGUUCCUGUGUGUGCUGGUGUGUGUAUACAUGUUCAUGUGUGUGCUGCUGCUGCUGCUGCUGCUGUGUGUGUGUGUGUGUGUGUGUGUGUGUGUGUUUAUGUGUGUGUGUACAUGUGUAUUUGGAAUAUCAGGGUUCUAACUUAUGUGCUGUUCCACAGGCUUCACUCAUCUUUUUGUUUUUCUUUAGAUGGCAUCUUUCAUUGGCCUGCAACUAGCCUACCAGGCUAGACUAGCCAGCCAGCCCCAGAGAUCUCCUUACCCCUCCCUUCCCAGUACCAGAACACAAGCAGAUGCCACUUUGUAGGCUCUGAAGAUCAAACUUGGAACCUUGAGCUUGCAAGGAGGGGACUUGGAGUCCUCUUCUCUGGGAUCUAAGACUUCCCAUCUUUCCUAUGUGAGCCCAGAGAACUAACAUAUUCACGAAGACAUUUUCAGAGAAUCAUCGGUGGGCAUGUCUCCCAUUACACAGAAGGAAGAUGCCAACGUCACUUAAACUUGUUGGAACAAUUUGUUCUCCCUCUGACCAGCAUGGAACAUAAAAAGGACCUUUGGUAUUUGGUGUUGGAAAAAUGGCCUCUUGGAUCCAGAGCUCUUUAGGAGUCAUGGGUUCUUGGAUAGAAUUACUGAGAAAAAGAAGUCAGAAUUACCCAGGAGGCUGCGGGCUUUUGCUGAGAGAGGCCAAAGAAAGGAGAUCUGUGUUGGUUGGGAGCUCUCAUCGCCUCGCAGGGCUGAUGGUUGGCUUGGAAGAGAACAAAAAGAGAAUGCUGGCUGGAAUUUGGGCAGUUGAACAGUGCGAUGAACAUGAAGCAACGAGCUCCCUCAGCUCCUCCUGAAGUAUUCUUCGAAAGUGAGGGAUUCCAGCUGGAGUAGGAGCUUUGAGGGACUCACCAUGAACUUUAGGGGACUGGUUUAUUGUCUGUGACAGUAAGUUUUUAAGUCAUUGUUCCAGUUCCUUUUUACAAAAAAAGGCA